rnacentral:rRNA from 3 species
CCUGGCGGCUUUAGCGCGGUGGUCCCACCUGACCCCAUGCCGAACUCAGAAGUGAAACGCCGUAGCGC